AUACGUAGGGUGCAAGCGUUAAUCGGAAUUACUGGGCGUAAAGCGUGCGCAGGCGGUUUUGUAAGACAGUGGUGAAAUACCCGGGCUCAACCUGGGAACUGCCAUUGUGACUGGAAGGCUGGAGUGCGGCAGAGGGGGAUGGAAUUCCCCGUGGAGCAGUGCAAUGCGUAGAUAUGCGGAGGAACACCGAUGGCGAAGGCAAUCCCCUGGGCCUGCACUGACGCUCAUGCACGAAAGCGUGGGGAGCAAACAGGAUUAGAUACCCUGGUAGUCCACGCCCUAAACGAUGUCAACUGGUUGUUGGGGAUUUAUUUUCUCAGUAACGAAGCUAACGCGUGAAGUUGACCGCCUGGGGAGUACGGCCGCAAGGUUAAAACUCAAAGGAAUUGACGGGG
rnacentral:rRNA from 1 species